rnacentral:rRNA from 1 species
AACAAGGUUUCCGUAGGUGAACCUGCUCAAGGGAGAGUGU